rnacentral:rRNA from 1 species
AUACGGAGGGUCCGAGCGUUAUCCGGAAUCAUUGGGUUUAAAGGGUCCGUAGGCGGGAAUCUAAGUCAGUGGUGAAAUCUUGCAGCUCAACUGUAAAAUUGCCAUUGAUACUGGAUUUCUUGAAUUAGGGUGAAGUGGUUAGAAUGUGUAGUGUAGCGGUGAAAUGCAUAGAUAUUACACAGAAUACCAAUUGCGAAGGCAGAUCACUAACACUAUAUUGACGCUAAGGGACGAAAGCGUGGGGAGCGAACAGGAUUAGAAACCCUAGUAGUCC